rnacentral:piRNA from 1 species
UAAAGGCCAAAUCCUUAAGUUCUUAGGAAGC